rnacentral:rRNA from 1 species
GACGAACGCUGACGGCGUGCUUAACACAUGCAAGUCGAGCGGUAAGGCCCUUUCGGGGGUACACGAGCGGCGAACGGGUGAGUAACACGUGGGUGACCUGCCCUUAGCUCUGGGAUAAGCCUGGGAAACUGGGUCUAAUACCGGAUAUGACUCCAUGACGCAUGUUGUGGGGUGGAAAGCCUUGUGCGGCUAGGGAUGGGCCCGCGGCCUAUCAGCUUGUUGGUGGGGUGAUGGCCUACCAAGGCGACGACGGGUAGCCGGCCUGAGAGGGCGACCGGCCACACUGGGACUGAGACACGGCCCAGACUCCUACGGGAGGCAGCAGUGGGGAAUCUUGCGCAAUGGGCGGAAAGCCUGACGCAGCGACGCCGCGUGAGGGAUGACGGCCUC